UCAACAAAAGAAAGUAAAUUUCAGCAUGUACACUGCCUGGUUCCAUUAGUACGACUUUCUCUUUUGGGUACCCUCUUACCUAGAAUUUCUGGCAUGCAUUUGUAAAAGCUCCUCUUCAAGUGCAAAUUCUCCUGGCUGCCAGUCUUCAACACACAUUGGUGAGGUCUGCUAUUCCCAUCAGCAGGUUUGGUUUCUGCCAGAGGAGCAAGAUCCAAGAAGGGACAUCCACGUUCCCUUGUGGACAUUGACUAUAUUUUGAAGAGUUGUACAGAAAAAGGAGCUUUUCUGUGCCUCCCAGAGAGAAACAGUAAUCCGCUGUAGCAAUU
rnacentral:lncRNA from 1 species